rnacentral:rRNA from 1 species
UGGGGAAUAUUGGACAAUGGGCGCAAGCCUGAUCCAGCCAUGCCGCGUGAGUGAUGAAGGCCCUAGGGUUGUAAAGCUCUUUCACCGGUGAAGAUAAUGACGGUAACCGGAGAAGAAGCCCCGGCUAACUUCGUGCCAGCAGCCGCGGUAAUACGAAGGGGGCUAGCGUUGUUCGGAUUUACUGGGCGUAAAGCGCACGUAGGCGGACUUUUAAGUCAGGGGUGAAAUCCCGGGGCUCAACCCCGGAACUGCCUUUGAUACUGGAAGUCUUGAGUAUGGUAGAGGUGAGUGGAAUUCCGAGUGUAGAGGUGAAAUUCAUAGAUAUUCGGAGGAACACCAGUGGCGAAGGCGGCUCACUGGACCAUUACUGACGCUGAGGUGCGAAAGCGUGGGGAGCAAACAGG